GUGUAUUAAGUGUUCGAAAUUCUACUCCCACGCCCCUUCCGCUAACGUUAGACGAUUAACGAAAUAUCACCUUUCUUGUUCCUCUACUUUUACAAACAAACCUCACCGAGAAAGACCCAAAACCAAGAUCAAUGUCCAAUAAUCAUAAUCUUCCUUCACGUUACAUUAUUUUAUUAGUAAUUCUAUUGUCUUCUGCAAAUUUCCUUCCUUCAGUCCUGGCCAAAUCUCGUAAUCCAAUCACAGAUUCUGAGAUUAAGAAAAAGAAGAGUGAAUGUUAUGCUGAUAUCGACAGUGGAUUGUGGGGUGGGCAAUGUAAGUCUUCAUCAAUAGCAAAGGAGAAUUGUGCUUUGAAGUGCCUUUCUCUGGCUUGUUACGAGCUUAUAUAUGAAAGUGAUCCCCUUGAAGAAGGAGAGAAAGAUUUUAUAAGGAGCCAAGAGUUCAAAUACUGCAUGUAUAAGUUAUCAUUAGGAGGGAGCCUCGAAGGUGUCAGGGGUUCCUUUGACAAUUAAACCAUUUAAGCUGGCAGCAUUGAUUGUGAGAGUAUGAGUUGGAUAUUGGUUCUGUAUUAAUGAUUGUCUUUACAUGACAGAAAGGCCCAAUGCAGUGAGUGUGGCUGUGGGUCGGUUUUUUCUGUGAUUGCUGUCUGUAUUUUGAAUUUUAAUCAAGCAUUGAGCUUUUCUUUUUUUUUUUUUCAAACUCUUUUAUGGAGUCCUGGACCAUGUCCAGAGUAUAUCAAGGCGUGAUAGAGUAGUGCUUUUGGAUGUAACAGCUGAACACCCGAAAAUGUAAAUCAAUUUAUGAGUUAAAUUCACACCAGAAG